GAUGAACGCUGGCGGCGUGCCUAAUACAUGCAAGUCGAGCGAACAGACGAGGAGCUUGCUCCUCUGACGUUAGCGGCGGACGGGUGAGUAACACGUGGAUAACCUACCUAUAAGACUGGGAUAACUUCGGGACACCGGAGCUAAUACCGGAUAAUAUAUUGAACCGCAUGGUUCAAUAGUGAAAGACGGUUUUGCUGUCACUUAUAGAUGGAUCCGCGCCGCAUUAGCUAGUUGGUAAGGUAACGGCUUACCAAGGCAACGAUGCGUAGCCGACCUGAGAGGGGGAUAGGCCACCCUGGAACUGGACCACGGUCCAGACUCCUACGGGAGGCAGCAGUAGGGAAUCUUCCGCAAUGGGCGAAAGCCUGACGGAGCAACGCCGCGUGAGUGAUGAAGGUCUUCGGAUCGUAAAACUCUGUUAUUAGGGAAGAACAAAUGUGUAAGUAACUAUGCACGUCUUGACGGUACCUAAUAAGAAAGCCACGGCUAACUACGUG
rnacentral:rRNA from 1 species